GGCUCAUGGUGCUGCGAUGUUGCUAAAUUUCACAGAAAUGUGUUUACAAUUGAAACCCGGAAAUAUCUAUAUAAAGCAUAUUUAAAUUAUCUCAAACGUGUCUAGCAAAACUGUUUGCGGAAUGUAAAUGUCGCGGGCUAAACGUUGAUUCAUCCUGAACUACCUCGCGAGCGCUCCCUUUGAAAACGAAAGUCCAGAAAGGGGGUGUUCCCUCUAAAUUUACAAACUCUGGUAUGUCCGUGCGCUCGCCUCAAAAACAGAAGGAAGUGGAACAGCCGUGAUCACAUGACUGCAUGUAUAUAAACACGGCGUGACAUCAUAUGUUUACUCGCUGCAAGAAACUGUCUGCCAACAAGUGCUGCUCUCCGUGUCCAAAUGGCGACAGAUAUUGAAAGAUUGGUCUCUUUCGAGGAGGCCUACUACGAUCAGUACGACUACUACAAUCUGCUAGAGUAUUCGGCCCACGCUGGCGGAAAAGGAAGAUCCAAGAGGGAAAUCGAGCUGAACACAAACCGCCAUUGCCCUGCAGGGCACGAGAGGAAGAUUGCAGAAAAAUAUCACAAUAGCCAAAUGAAACGCAGGAGAACCAAGAGCUCGUCAUCGUGAUGGCUUUUUUCUGCGAUGUUUACAGAUUUCGGAUUUCUGAUGUUGACCAUGGCCAAGUGUCUCUGCCUUCUUGAUCCAAUGACUGGAGUGCUGUGACACCGGGAACGCGCCCAUCAGUCACGAGGCAGCCCUCCAUUCCAUAGGUUUCCCUGUAACAAGACCCCCCUCCCCUCAAGUUACAGCUGUGCAAGAAUAGUUUGUGUUAAGCUAUGUAGGUCAGUGAAUUGUGUGCUUGAAAGCUAAAUGUAUAAAUAUGUAUAUCCAUUGUGGGUGCAGGAGAUAUGCUGAUUUUAAAUCAAAUAAAAAGUUGAUGGUAAUUAAAGUCAACAGGAGUGUUUAGUAACUUCGGUGUCAUGUUUUCAUUUGAAACAUGGUUUGAUUUCCAAGGCUCUGUUUCUUCUCCUGAUCAGUUGAACCAAAUCUUCCUGUUCUAUAAACAGGAAGAGUGGCUGGGGGCCUGCUGCAGUGCUUAUUUGUAUAUCAGAACGCUAAAAGGACAUGGUACAUGGACAUAUCAUAUCAUAGAGGGGGAGUAUAAUUUGCAGAGCAAAGACAUUUGGCUGGUGCUUCUCUAUUUAAGGUUUUUCUUAAAUGCUUUUUAUUAACAGGCGUUUUUUGCUUUAUAACAUAAUAACAAUGGAUCCAUAAAAUAAAAACAUAAUUGAACAUAUUAGGGAUUAAGGAAAAUACACAACAGUCUGCUGUUUUUCAGAUAAAAUCUCUUAUCAAUAGAAGUAAAACUUUUUAUCUAAAUAAAUGUAUUAAUAUAAAUAAAAAAUAUCUGUAUACAAUUCACAUACCAAAUUUGUUGUUCUUUCUCAAAUAAGGAUGUUGAAACAGGUGGUUGGUUACUAUGGAGACAUCUUCAGUACCCAAAAAUAGUUUACAUAAGUAGGUUUCCUGUGGCGGCAUGCCAUCCUUUUAUUAUAUCACAAGUGUGUGUAGCCCACAGUGUACAUUACAUGUAUAUCAUAAAUUUUUAAAUGCAUUUUUAUGAUUUGGGGAUUUUACUCAGCAGACACACAUCUGGUCCCAUCUUUGCUUGGCUUAUAAAGCACUAUCUACCUGGGCAAUUGGAAGCUGUUGAGUGUCCAUCAAUAGCCUUUGCUUUAGUUCAGCUCGUAGACACCAAUUGCUGUUGGGAUUGCGGAUAAACAUUUUACUAUAAUGAUCCCAUAGUAUUUGCGUGCGUGUGUGCGCGCGCAAUCAAAUCAGAAUGUGUAUCCGCAGCGGAAAUUUGUUUGAGUUGCUCUAAAUAUGAAACGAAGACAGAUUAAAAAUGGACCUGGAGACGCGCGAUAUUUACCGGGCGUCUUUGGAUUUUAUUUUGUACUUUGUUUCUACCGGAAAGUCAAAUUAACAUGUGAUGCUUUUAUUUUGAAGGAACAACUAAACAACCGGAAUAGCGUCAUUUUUUGUUAUGCAGUGUGUGCAGCGAACGGACUCCAAAAUACCGAUGUCCAGCCUGCAAAAUAAGAUAUUGUUCACUUGGCUGUUACAAGAAGCAUAAAGAUACCUGCCUUCCUGUUGACAAGCCUGCCCCUUCAAAUCCUGAAACAAAGGCUGCUGUGAGCACAGAGCCUUGGAGCGUCGACGAUCUUCUGCAUGAAGAUGACAUCACUGACAAAGUUCCUCUGCAGAGGCUCCAGAUGUUAGGCCAGUCAAAAGAGCUAAAGGACCUGCUCUGUAACCCUCAUCUGAGGCAGUUAUUGUGCUCUAUAGAUGGUGCAGAGCGUAAAGAGGAUGCAAUGAAAUCAGCUAUGCAGGAGCCGCUGUUUGUGGAAUUUUCUGAUCAGUGCUUGAAAAUUGUAGAAAAUGACGCAAAAUCAAGUGAAGAUGCUGACUUGUAAAAUCCAGCUUGCAUUUUUUUUAAAUAUAUUUUUGUAGUGUUGUUGCUGCAGUUUGUGUUGUGACUUCUCAAACGACAGUAUGUAUAUAAUGUUCAAAUAAAAGCCACAACUUUUUCAAACUGUAAAAAUUCCCAGAGUCA